UACGUAGGGUGCGAGCGUUUGUCCGGAAUUAUUGGGCGUAAAGAGCUCGUAGGCGGUCUGUCGCGUCGGUCGUGAAAACUUGGGGCUUAACCCUGAGCUUGCGGUCGAUACGGGCAUGACUGGAGUUCGGUAGGGGAGACUGGAAUUCCUGGUGUAGCGGUGAAAUGCGCAGAUAUCAGGAAGAAUACCAAUGGCGAAGGCAGCUCUCUGGGACGGUACUGAC
rnacentral:rRNA from 1 species